GUGUGUUAUGGACAAUAAUUCUGAUGUAGAAAAGUACUGCGAUAUAAUUAAGUAACAUGGAAAAGCAGUUUGUUGAAAAGACCAGUAUAAGUAAUAGAUGAUGCACGACGGAAUUUAAUAAAUCAUAUUCCGAAAUAUAAGGACAUGUUAAGUGCGCAGUGUUUUGUGGAAUAUUAAUGAAAUGGAAUAUGUUCGUUUUCAAGACAUAUGUGGUUUAUAUUUAACUAUUUAUAGUAUAAAUCAUUUAUCAUGAAGAAACCACGAGUUUUGUCAUUGUAUGAAAAAUGGGAAUGGAAAGCUUCUAUUGAAAACUGAUUGAAUUAAAAGUAUUGUUUAGUGCAGUAUAUAGAAUAACUGGAUUUGAUCUUAUUGUAGUAAUAUGUGUGCGGAAAGGGAUCGCAUUCGCGAGAGAGAAAGACAAGCCAGAGCUCAUAUGUCACUACAAGCCGAACGUG